CCUUUUCGGACUAAGCUGAAAUCAUGGACGCCAGCCGCGUGCAGCCCAUCAAACUCGCUAGAGUUACUAAAGUGCUGGGAAGAACCGGCUCCCAGGGACAGUGUACCCAGGUGAGCUCAGACUGAACUCGCGCUCGUGUCCUGAGCAACACGAGCAGGGACGGUUUUGCGGAUUAUUUGAUUAAGAAAAAUAGCAUUUUAUGUCCUGGAAUUUACGUUAGUUACGUUGUGUUGUCUAUAAGUCACUUUAUAAGAGUUACGAUAUAUUUUGCAGGAGUCCUAGCUUGUAACCACACCUACUGCACAUGUUACAAUCUAUAAAUUUAGUAAAUAUUGUAAAUGUCUGUUUAGUGUAACACGUUAUGCGAAAAUCACUGUUUUUAAAACUUAUUUUCCCUCAUAAUAUUGAUGGAAAUCUCUAGAUAUUGCAUAUUGUAGUUGGACAUUAAAAUGUGAUUUGUUGCUGUCAAAUUUGGUAUGCAGUUGAAUGCAUUUGAAAGUAUUAGUUUGAUUCUUUUUCUUAAGACUAACAUAUUGUCCUUCCAUAGGUGCGCGUUGAGUUCAUGGAUGACAGCAAUAGAUCCAUCAUCAGGAACGUGAAGGGCCCAGUAAGAGAAGGAGAUGUCCUGACACUUCUGGAGUCUGAAAGAGAGGCCAGGAGGCUUCGCUAGGUCAGUAAACAUCAUUCACAGCUGUAAAUAUAUCAUCAAUUUAUACCGCAGAUUCUCCUGUCAUAUGUUUUAGAUGGGAAAGAUAAUGCUUAGAAAUAAAGCAACGGGUUUUAAUGUAAAAAGGAUUUUUAUGCAUAAGAAGCAAUUAAGUUUUAAUACUCAGUAAAUCUGACUGAAGAGUGUCUAAAAAGUUCUCUCUCCCAGUUUUCAAAUUAUGCUAAAUGUCUGUUGUGUGCUAGACUCUAUAUCAAUAUCAGUCACAGUAAAUUGCCACAGUGACUUGAAGACCCUUUUCCAGUCGGUAUUGUGGAUGGAUAUGGAUGUGCUUGAUGUUUUUUAUAACCAUUUGUCUGUUUCUCCCAGCAGUGCACAUGUGAAGACCUGCAUUGGCCAAAGCAUCAACAUCAGCUCUACAGUUGGCAGUACAAUAUCAUUUGUGCGCAGUUUGAAAUAAAGUGUCUUUGUGAAUAAGUUGGUCUCCUCCUCAAUUUGUUUUUAUUAUGAAUAAUGUUUAAUUUUAUCUUGAGUUUUACGAUUGCUAUAAAGUACUAAUGGCACGUUUCCCCAGUUUAAUGUGAGAUACAGUCAGAUCCAAACCAGAUCAAAGCAAUUCAAUUUUGUGUACUCUAGAAUUUAGAUGUCAAGUGAUUUGUGUGUGUAUAGAGUGAGAUUUCAAACUAUGUAUCUGAUUCUGAAUCCCAACUAAAUAUCAACUGUAUUGGGCUUUAAACAGGGUAUCUGCGGGUCCUUAAAAAUUCUUUAAAUAUUUUUGGUCACAUUACCGCUAAAAUAUCUGAAGUCUGAUGGAGCUAAUGACUGUUUACAAUCAUUGGAAAGACCCUCGCGGUAGUUACUGCAUCAUCAGCAAGAAUGGCAGUAGCAGAAUAC
ensembl:lncRNA